rnacentral:lncRNA from 1 species
AUUAGUGUUUACUUAUUACAUUUUGAAAUUCAAGUUGGAUUUCUUCCCUGCCUCAACAUGAAUAUGAUUUUCCGACCAGGCUUUUGUAGUUGCAGUUCCUACAUAUCUUGAACAUUAGCAUAUAUUCAUCUGGCAUCCGUGAACUCAACUUACUCAAAGUCGUUAUACGAACAAUUUGGAUCUUACUUGUGAUUGUGGAAGUACAUAAAUGAGGAAUGCAGUUACUUGAAAUAGAUACCUACACAAUAUGUAACCAUAUGAAAGAGAUGCAUGACUCUACAUGUCAAGAAAUUGGAGACAUGGAAUUUUAGUAGAAAACGAUGAGAGUGAAACUUAUCCUAUGUGUGUCAGACUUUUGUCGGGAUUUCAAUAUUUGUAUAUAAAGGAAGACAAAGUUGUAGUUAAUAAAAAACUACAUAUAUGUAAAGACAAUACAUUUCAAUCUUCUGUUCCUCAAUGAUACUAUAAUAAUUCAUCUAUAUACUCGAUCAACUCUAGUUCGUUUUUAUGACUAAACCAUACUUUAUUCUCAUAUACUAAUGAAUUCUUAGAUAAAGAAAGUACCAUCUACAAACGAGACAAACAAAAAACAAGAGAACAGAAAUAUGUAGUUCCAUAUUUUUGUGAACUGUGUGGAAAUAUCCUUGAAUAUUGUGAUUGUGUAUUAGAAAUCAUUAGAACUAGAAUGAUCCAUAUCGAUAGAACCUCUGAUAGAUAUCAAGUCCAGUACCUGGACGGAUCUGACAUAGUGAACUUGUUUCUCUCCCUCACUCUUCUUUUUCAUACCCGGAGUUCAAGGACCAAUGUUAUUUGGAUGACUCCUCCUAGACUCCAUUCUACAAUAACUCGUUAACCAGGCUCCAUGCGGACUCUUCUUGGACUCUACACUACGAUAACUCUCCCUACAUUAUGUACUACGAUAACUUAUCCUUGACCUAGUGCCAUGGUGUCUCCUCUUGGACUUGAUUGUAUUAUUAGUCAUCCUAUACUCAGUGACAUAAUUAUUCGUCCUGCUCGAUCAAGAGUUGCCUGCCCUUGCUCUUGUUUUGUUUUUACUCAAAUAGAUAAACACACUUUUUCCUCCAGAUUUGAAAUACAUUUUUUAUUAGAACAAAUCAAUUUUUAAAGCAUUUAAACAGUAACGAACAAUACAAAUUAUUUGGAGCAUUCAAGAUAUUCUGAUAAUAAAGGCUUCCUUCUUACUAGCUGUUUAAUUCUUCAUUUAUUAUAUUAAUAUCCAAUUCUUUUCUUGUUCCCAUGAAUUUUAUUCUUUACCUCAGAGAUGUAAUUUUUUGCCAUCAAGUUGAAAUUUUAAAUGCUAUACUUGGAGCAGAUUUAUUAAAAGCAUGAUUCCCCUCACAUGCCUGAAGCAUAAGGAUCAUGUUCAAAAACAUUUCAAAAUACUUUUAUAAAUAAUUGUUGAGAUGUAGUUAUUUGGUUGAAAAUUGGCUGGUUAUCUUUUCAAUUUGAAAAAGUUUGGAAAACAUAACAACUUAGAAAUACAAGAUCUGAUGGACCUCUAUCAAUUUGCAAAAGAUGAUGCAUAUUCAACAUAACGUCGAUUAUUAAGAAACUGGUUUUUACAUAUAAAUACAAUUCGAAACUCUUUAAAACAUUAGAUAUGAUUCUCAGAAGAAAAAUGGAAUAUCAUCAUAAUAUCAGGAUCGGGAAAAUAUGGAGUUCAAAGCAAAUACUCAUUUUCUUUUUAUUUAGUUAGGCUUUCUUAAGGAGAAAUUUUUCAUUCAGAGUUAGAAACAAUCCAUUUUCUACUCAUUUUUUCUAUGAUAUAUUCUUCUGUCAUUUCUGCUGCACCACUUAGAAUUCCUUAAGGGGUCAAACAGCUCAGAUAUUGUGUUAUAUGAACAAUCACCCUGUAUAUUUACUUCUUAUUUGAGAAUCAUAAAUGGAUGAAGUUACACUUUUAAAGAUAAAUUUGGAAAAACUUAAAAAUGGGCGAUCUCAUCAAGUUAGUCUUGGGUACCUAAUAGAAGAGAGAGAUGGGGGAUCUUGGAAUAAAUAAAAACAAAAAAACAAUGGGCCCAAUACUUAAAAUUGCCCCAUCUAUAACAUCAAGUGAAACUACCUCAAGUCCUACUCCCCCUAGUAUCAUUUCUAAAGGAACUGCAUGCUCACUUACACAUCCUAUAGUAUCCUCUCCAUUGCUACCUGAAACAGAUGGGCCAAUACCCAUUAUUGCUCCAUCGAGCAACUCUAAAGGAACCACAUGAUGACUAUCCAAUUUCUUUGUUUGAUUAUUGCAACGUAUUAAUUGUUGUUUCUUCUUUUUCUUAUCCUUGUUCUUCUUCACAACACCAGUGUCAGUUUUGGUACUAGAUUUCACCCCUGCUAAUCCUUC